rnacentral:rRNA from 1 species
UACGUAGGGUGCAAGCGUUGUCCGGGAAUUAUUGGGCGUAAAGAGCUUGUAGGCGGUUUGUCGCGUCUGCUGUGAAAUCUCAAGGCUCAACCUUGAGCUUGCAGUGGGUACGGGCAGACUAGAGUGUGGUAGGGGAGACUGGAAUUCCUGGUGUAGCGGUGAAAUGCGCAGAUAUCAGGAGGAACACCGAUGGCGAAGGCAGGUCUCUGGGCCAC